rnacentral:rRNA from 1 species
GACAGAGGAUGCAAGCGUUAUCCGGAAUUAUUGGGCGUAAAGAGCUCGUAGGCGGUUUGUCGCGUCUGCCGUGAAAGUCCGGGGCUCAACUCCGGAUCUGCGGUGGGUACGGGCAGACUAGAGUGAUGUAGGGGAGACUGGAAUUCCUGGUGUAGCGGUGAAAUGCGCAGAUAUCAGGAGGAACACCGGAGUGGCAAGGC